rnacentral:lncRNA from 1 species
GCCGAGCGGUGGUACCCUUGUCCGGGUAGGACCGUUCGCCCAAACAAAAUUUCCCGCCCUGGGACUCGGGGCGGGAGGCUUCCGGGACGUACGUACUGGAUGAUGAGGGGUCGAUGAGUAUUUGAGCUCCCGGACUAGAUGCCUUCGGGUGUCGACUCUCCUUCCCUUCUGACAACGGUUUGCUGACGGAAGUUUACCCGGGCAUCAAUGUUGAUGGACUGCCCAUCAUCGAAGAUGGUCUGCCAGUCUACGUUACCUCAGGGGGCGUGCCAAUCCGCGUAGACGUGACCCAUGUCACGGUGGGUGCUGCGUCGCAUGGCUCUCCUGAGCGGCCAGAGGAUGCUGCGCCCCAUGACUCUCCCGAACCGCGGGCGGACGAUCCUGCGCCACAUGACCCUCCGGAACGUCGGCCGGAAGAGCCGAAGCGCGAGUCUUAUAUUUAAUUGAUUUGGUCAAAAAAUAUCAGACUGACAUGAGAAAUAGAAAAAAACGAAAAGGCAAAUGUGGCAAAUAAUUUCGGAUCAAAUUAACUUGGAAUUCGGCUGCAAAAUUCUGCCCAAUCAAAUUGAGAAUAAAUGGAGUGCCCUAGAAAAAAAGUACCGUAUGGUCAAACAGCACAACAACAUUUCAGGAAACGACAAGAGGACCUGUGAAUUUGAAGAACAGCUGGCCGAGGUCCUCGAGAGGCAGCAUUUAAUAAAUCCUGUUUACGUCGCGGGGGCAGGAUGUCGGCGAGUGCAGAGUGCCCAGUCAGCUGCCCCAAGCCCCCGGACCUACUCAAAGCCCGCUGCCCAACACAAGCACGGCCAUUGAGGACGCAGCGGAAGUGCGACUGGCAAGUCCUUUGCCACCAGUAAGUGCAGCCCUGGAAGCAGAAGAAACAGGGGAGCAGCAGGAGGAGCAACG